rnacentral:ncRNA from 1 species
CCACAUUGGCAUGAGGAAGCAAUUCAGCAUUCUUUGUAAAAGUUCAGUUAGUGAUACAUCUACCAAUAAGCAACGUAGGUGUCUCAACGUGAGCUCAGCUAGGACAGGGACCUAAAGUUCACUUAGAUUUGCUUCUCAUUCAGUACGAAUACAGUCAGUAAAAGGGAAAUUUAUCGAUCCUUUUGAUGACUCGAUAAUUGUAGUAUGAAUCAAAAGGAGGGAAAAGUUACUAAUAGAGGCACAAAUGGUUUGUAGUGGCCAAAAGUUCUUAGCAACGUCGCUUUUUAAUCCUUCGAUAUCUACUCCUAUACCUAUCAAUGUGAAUCAGAUUUCGCCAAGCAUUUAAUUGGUCACCCACUGAAAGGGAAGUGCAAACGCAAGUGAGU